GACGAACGCUGGCGGCGUGCUUAACACAUGCAAGUCGAACGGAAAGGCCCUGCUUUUGUGGGGUGCUCGAGUGGCGAACGGGUGAGUAACACGUUAGUAACCUGCCCUUGACUUUGGGAUAACUUCAGGAAACUGGGGCUAAUACCGGAUAGGAGCUCCUGCUGCAUGGUGGGGGUUGGAAAGUUUCGGCGGUUGGGGAUGGACUCGCGGCUUAUCAGCUUGUUGGUGGGGUAGUGGCUUACCAAGGCUUCGACGGGUAGCCGGCCUGAGAGGGUGACCGGCCACAUUGGGACUGAGAUACGGCCCAGACUCCUACGGGAGGUAGCAGUGGGGAAUAUUGCACAAUGGGCGGAGGCCUGAUGCAGCAACGCCGCGUGCGGGAUGACGGCCUUCGGGUUGUAAACCGCUUUCGCCUGUGACGAAGCGUGAGUGACGGUAAUGGGUAAAGAAGCACCGGCUAACUACGUG
rnacentral:rRNA from 1 species